rnacentral:rRNA from 1 species
GUGAGGAAUAUUGCGCAAUGGAGGCAACUCUGACCCAGCCAUGCCGCGUGCAGGAUGACGGCCCUCUGGGUUGUAAACUGCUUUUAUACGGGAAGAAAAAAUACUACGUGUAGUAUACUGACGGUACCGUAAGAAUAAGGAUCGGCUAACUCCGUGCCAGCAGCCGCGGUAAUACGGAGGAUCCAAGCGUUGUCCGGAUUUAUUGGGUUUAAAGGGUGCGUAGGCGGAUCUUUAAGUCAGUGGUGAAAGCCUGCAGCUUAACUGUAGAAUUGCCAUUGAAACUGAAGAUCUUGAAUGUGGUUAAAGUAGGCGGAAUGUAUCAUGUAGCGGUGAAAUGCUUAGAUAUGAUACAGAACACCGAUAGCGAAGGCAGCUUGCUGAACCAUUAUUGACGCUGAGGCACGAAAGCGUGGGGAGCGAACAGGAUUAGAAACCCCGGUAGUCC